GAUUGAAAGCUGGCGUCUUCGGCGUCCGCAUUGUAAUCUCAAGAAGUGUUUUCCGCUUCGGACCAUGCCUAAGUCCCUUGGAAAAGGGCAUCAUAGAGGGUGAUAAUCCCGUACAUGGCAUGGAGCGCCCGAAGCUUUGUGAUACGCUUUCUAAGAGUCGAGUUGUUUGGGAAUGCAGCUCAAAAUGGGUGGUAAAUGCCAUCUAAGGCUAAAUAUUGGGGAGAGACCGAUAGCGAACAAGUACAGUGAUGGAAAGAUGAAAAGAACUUUGAAAAGAGAGUUAAACAGUACGUGAAAUUGCCAAAAGGGAAGGGUAGGAGGUCAGAGAUGCGGCCUAGGAUUCAGCCUUGCUUUUGCUUGGUGUUUUUCCUGCGUUGCAGGCCAACGUCGGUUUUGGGCACUGGAGAAGGGUAGGAGGAACGUGGCACCUCUCGGGGUGUGUUAUAGCCUCCUACUGGAUACAGCGACCGAGACCGAGGACAGCAGCGUACUCGCAAGAGCGGGCCUUCGGGCACCUUUACGCUUAGGGCGUUGGCAUAAUGGCCCUCUACCACCCGUCUUG
rnacentral:rRNA from 1 species